rnacentral:rRNA from 1 species
UGUGGCUUAAUUUGACUCAACGCGGGAAAUCUUACCGGGUCCGGACACACUGAGGAUUGACAGGUAACGUUAUACACACAUAUAUUUACUCUCGGGUAUUUAUACUGCUGUGUAUAUAUAAAAUAUGCUAGUCCUUUCAUGAUUAUGUGAUAGGUGGUGCAUGGCCGUUCUUAGUUCGUGGAGUGAUCUGUCUGCUUAAUUGCGUUUCACUAAGGAUCUAUAUUCAUAUUACGCAUAGCAUUUUGACCCCUUUAUGCUUCGGUAUAAAGCUGCGCGUCAAACCUUGCUAUCUGCGUAUAUUAGAUCCUGAAAGCAACGAACGUGACCGCAACCUCUUGUUGCCUUUAACUAGGUUUUGCUUACGUAUAGCUUCGGCUUUACGCUUUGCAUCUAAAAAGGCUGAUUUUCUAAACUAGAGGGACCGCUGUUACUUUCUUAAACCAGAGGAAGGUUGCGGCAAUAACAG